UGAAGAAGACCAAGUUCUUUAAUGAUGGAAAUGUGAAAUCCAGGUGUAGUUACGAAACUGCGAAGUCAUUGGAGUUUUGAGCUGGAAUAGCGGAAUGCCAUCCUGAGCUAGAACUCAUCUGUAGCAGAGCAGUUCAGGAUGGUGUCCAUAAGCGAUUUGGUGGGAUGAUGCAAGACCCUAAACUGAUUGCUGCAACAUCCUUCUGCCAAAGUUCAAGAACACCUGGACUGAAACCAUGUUGAUAUCAUAGAAGCAGGUCUAGUCUAUGUGGUGACAACAUCUUGACAAGAUGGCAGAGGCAGCGGUGGAGCAAGUCAAGCACCCUUAAUAAGAUGGAAGAAGGAUACAGAUUAGAUGGGUACAUUGCCUGUUUUCCAAACUAAAUGCAACAAAAAUGUUUCCUUCAAACUCAACCCUGGCCUUCCUGCAUGUGAGCAUCUUUUUAACAGUGCUGGACUGAAAUUCACUGAGCAAGGAUGAACUCUGCUAAUUUUGAAAACCAACUGUUGCUCAAACUUACAAAAAAUUCAUAGAGUAAGGAUGGACACACAAAUAAACAGAAGUUAUACAGAAGGGCAGGGCAAUUUAAAACUACCAUGCUCAUUUGAUAUUUUGUUAAUCAACAAGUCUGUUACCUGACAAUGGCACAGUUUUACCUUAAAUACUUGAAUGUCCCUGACCCAUUUUGAUUGAAAGUUUUGCUGUAGACAGUUUAGAAAAGGUAUGCUGUAUAAGCCACAGUUUAUGCCUUGUUUAAAAAAUUGUAUAUGAUGAUCUGCACUAAGAUCACUCAUAUCUCCCUAAAUGUUUUAAAUGGUUCUUUUACUUUAUUACUUUUUUACCUAUGGUAUUAAAACAAAAUUCAAAUAUGUUAAGAAAUACAAUUGGAACAACCAUUGAAGUAAACAUUUAGUAUCCUGGCACAUGUAAAUUCAACUAUAAGAUUAAGUUAAAAAAUGUUAAUAAUGUUCUGAUUCCUCAAAGGUAAAAAUCUGAAUAAAAAAACGCAAAAUGUAAACAUUGUAAGCUUAUCAUUUUGCUUUUUAGGAAGUGUUAAUGUUGUAAUGCUCGAUGUUGUUUGUCACUCUAAAAGAUGGGACAAAAGGUGGCCUGUUGGGUAUGAUUUUGUGUGAAUACUGUAUACAGUGAAUUGUUUUAAGCCAACAACGAACAAGCCUGUUUUAUUAGUCACUGGUUAUAUAAACGCAGAAGUCAAACUUGGUCACGUACGGGACAAAUUUAAUAAACCCAAAAUACGAGAUAUCCCGACUAAUACGGGACAGUUUGGCAACCCUAGCUAUAUCUGACAUCAGACAAGGAACUCCCAAUGCACUAAAAAUUAUUAUUGUAAUUCCUGUAAAAAUGUUAAAUUUAACACAUUAAACUUGCGUGUUCAUUUCAGAAAAAGCAGACAGAAGGUCUGCAAUAUGCAUUCCAAGUAUGAAUUCAGGAUGUAAAUAUGACAUAAUAAAGUAAAGAAAAUACAGAUUGAAGCUAUAGCUUACAUCUGUGUAACUCUUUGCAAUUCUUGGUGAUCGAGUCUAAGAAUCACAACAUGGAGAAGCAAGCUGUAAAGCUCUCAAUUGACUCAUUAUAAAGUAAAUGCAGUAUAUAUUUAUAAAGUCACACUCCGUAAAUCAACCUAGUUAGAAUUACCUGCUAGCCUAUGGUGUGUUUGCUGCAGACAUAACGUGUAAUUAGUCUUUAUUGUUGUACAGUGUGACAACUGAGAUCCCACAGUGUAACA